ensembl:lncRNA
AUGAGCCGCCUUUCUGAAACCUGUGUUUUUACAGUGUUUGGGCGGAGGUGGGUCAGCUCCACAGUGUCUCCAUUUAACACCUCGAUAAGAGCCUCAUCUCUCCACAGAGAAACCUCAACUGCUCUUGAGUUGCAGUUUAGCUUAAAGUCCAGGACGGGCACUUUACCAAAUUGCACCUGUGCCAUCCUCACCUCCUGCAACUACAAAUCACAUACCAGAGGAGACUGACGUACCCAUCUUCUGAAGGGUCCACUUUGUCCACGGAGACCAGAGGGGAAUGUGGAACAAGGAUCUCUCUGGCCCUUCUCUCCUGAUCUUCAUUGUUUAAUCAGUGGGUCACAGUUGUUCCUGCUAUACUCACCAUUCUUCGAUGAAAUGCUACUGCCUUUCUUGUGACACGUGUGGCAACGCAUUUACAUUUCAGUGGCUCCGGACGGCUGUAUGGACUGCAUGUUGCCAUUGUGAUGCUAAGAACAAAUACACAGAAAGGGUGCACAUUUGGCGGGUGAGCACAUCUUUUGGACAUGUGACUAAUGAGCUGUCAAUCAUUCUGGAUUCAUCCGGUCCGGCGGUCCUUCCUUCAGAUCAUUGCAUCCUCUGCUGUUGUGUUGUCCUCCUUCCUCCUCCCUACUGCCAAGUGGUCAUCAGAACUUUCUUUUAAAGCCACCCGAAAAUACUUGAAACCACAAAAAAACUCUUUGAAAACCAAAAACUCUUUGAAAAACCUGACUGUGAAAAACCUGACUGUGAAAAACCUGACUGUGAAAAACCUGACUGUGAAAAACCUGAACAUCAAACCCAGUACUGAAACAUCACCAUGCCAAGAAAAGGAAAGAGAAGUGAAUCACAGAAACAGCGCAGAAAGCUACCAUCUUCAUUGGGCACCAGUAACAGUACCAACUCUGUAUCAGGUAUGAGUGAGGAAAACCCAUACGUGCUGUCUGUUAAAGCGUCUCACUGUCAGACCGAUGCGAGGUACAGUGUGUACUCCAGAGGCC